AACGAACGCUGGCGGCAGGCUUAACACAUGCAAGUCGAGCGCCCCGCAAGGGGUGCGGCAGACGGGUGAGUAACGCGUGGGAAUCUACCCAUCUCUACGGAAUAACGCAUGGAAACGUGUGCUAAUACCGUAUACGUCCUUCGGGAGAAAGAUUUAUCGGAGAUGGAUGAGCCCGCGUUGGAUUAGCUAGUUGGUGGGGUAAAGGCCUACCAAGGCGACGAUCCAUAGCUGGUCUGAGAGGAUGAUCAGCCACACUGGGACUGAGACACGGCCCAGACUCCUACGGGAGGCAGCAGUGGGGAAUAUUGGACAAUGGGCGCAAGCCUGAUCCAGCCAUGCCGCGUGAGUGAUGAAGGCCCUAGAGUUGUAAAGCUCUUUCACCGGUGAAGAUAAUGACGGUAACCGGAGAAGAAGCCCCGGCUAACUUCGUGCCAGCAGCCGCUGUAAGAC
rnacentral:rRNA from 1 species